rnacentral:lncRNA from 10 species
GACGGGGUUUCACCUUGUUAGCCAGGAUGGUCUCGAUCUCCUGACCUCGUGAUCCACCCGCCUCGGCCUCCCAAAGUGCUGGGAUUACAGGCGUGAGCCACCGCGCCCAGCCUGUAAGCCUAAAUUUUUGUGGCUGUGGGAUGGACAAGGACCCAGUCUUUAGCUGAACUAAGGAAAAGUCCUGCAACAAUAAAUUUCAGAAGUUUGAUCUUAACAGAUGAGGAGACUGAAGCCCACAGAGAUCUGAUAGAAAACAGCUGGAUGUGCUAACAGAGCAUCAGACUUGGAAUCAGGUGGAUCCUAGAUUGGCUACUUCCUAACCUCAGAAAAGUGACAUAAUGUCUAUGGUGAAGUCAUCCAUCUGAAACACAAUGCAGUGAAAUCCACUUUAAAUUUUGAUUGUGUGCUUCUCCUGGAGGAGUCUGCCCAGUCCUGACCCAGGCUGCUGUGCAGCACAGCUAAUGCUAGUGCUGAAUGUCAGCCACCCACCUGACUCUGGGGCCAAACCUGCACCCUGAGCUUUGGAGCCAAGCAGGAAACAAAUAUCCAGGGGAAUGAAGUGUAGGAUUUCAUUUAUUUAUUGGAAUUUGCUUUUCUGUAUUAAGUUCUGCUGUUAUCAG